GAAUGGUUGGAAAGAACACAGAGUUGGGUACUGUAUCAUGGAAAUCUCAUUAUAAGGAAAUCCUGCAGCACAGUUAAGAAACUUGUGAUUACUCUUAAGUCAGUGGAUUUAUGGUCAACCUUGAUGAUGUGGGAUGAGAGUCACCACUGUUUGAGUAACACUGUUGAAAAGAUCUUUGUUACCUGAUUGGAUACUUUGGCACCUUUUUGAAGAACAAAAAAAUUGUAAAGGACUUUGGACAAUAAUUUCUUUGGAAGAAACUGUGGUUAGAGUUGCAAACUCUCUGGAGCAUGAGAAGUCAAAAAUCGAGGUCCCAAGAAACGGAACAGAAACCACUUCCAAGAUGAACUAGUGAUUCUAAAUGCGAAAA